CCUACGGGAGGCAGCAGUGGGGACUUUUGGACAAUGGGCGCAAGCCUGAUCCAGCAAUGCCGCGUGAGUGAAGAAGGCCUUCGGGUUGUAAAGCUCUUUUGUCAGGGAAGAAACGGUCUACUCUAAUACAGUGGGCUAAUGACGGUACCUGAAGAAUAAGCACCGGCUAACUACGUGCCAGCAGCCGCGGUAAUACGUAGGGUGCAAGCGUUAAUCGGAAUUACUGGGCGUAAAGCGUGCGCAGGCGGUUAUAUAAGUCAGAUGUGAAAUCCCCGGGCUCAACCUGGGAACUGCAUUUGAGACUGUAUGGCUAGAGUGUGUCAGAGGGGGGUAGAAUUCCACGUGUAGCAGUGAAAUGCGUAGAUAUGUGGAGGAAUACCGAUGGCGAAGGCAGCCCCCUGGGAUAACACUGACGCUCAUGCACGAAAGCGUGGGGAGCAAACAGGAUUAGAUACCCUGGUAGUCCACGCCCUAAACGAUGUCUACUAGUUGUCGGGACUUAAUUGUCUUGGUAACGCAGCUAACGCGUGAAGUAGACCGCCUGGGGAGUACGGUCGCAAGAUUAAAACUCAAAUGAAUUGACGG
rnacentral:rRNA from 1 species